rnacentral:rRNA from 1 species
UUAAAGCCAUUCUCAGUUCGGAUUGUAGGCUGAAACUCGCCUACAUGAAGCUGGAGUUACUAGUAAUCGCAGAUCAGAAUGCUGCGGUGAAUGCGUUCCCGGGUCUUGUACACACCGCCCGUCACACCACGGAAGUUGGGGGCGCCCGAAGCCACUUAGCUAACCCUUUUGGGAAGCGAGUGUCGAAGGUGAAAUCAAUAAUGGGGUGAAGUCGUAACAAGGUAUC